CACGUUCGGAUUGCAGGCUGCAACCCGCCUGCAUGAAGUUGGAAUCGCUAGUAAUCGCGGAUCAGCAUGCCGCGGUGAAUACGUUCCCGGGCCUUGUACACACCGCCCGUCACACCAUGAGAGUCGGGAACACCCGAAGUCCGUAGCCUAACCGCGAAGGGGGCGCGGCCGAAGGUGGGUUCGAUAAUUGGGGUGAAGUCGUAACAAGGUAUC
rnacentral:rRNA from 1 species